CUUACCAUGCAGUCGAACGGCAGCACGGGAGCAAUCCUGGUGGCGAGUGGCGAACGGGUGAGUAAUACAUCGGAACGUGUCCUGUAGUGGGGGAUAGCCCGGCGAAAGCCGGAUUAAUACCGCAUACGCUCUACGGAGGAAAGGGGGGGAUCUUAGGACCUCCCGCUACAGGGGCGGCCGAUGGCAGAUUAGCUAGUUGGUGGGGUAAAGGCCUACCAAGGCGACGAUCUGUAGCUGGUCUGAGAGGACGACCAGCCACACUGGGACUGAGACACGGCCCAGACUCCUACGGGAGGCAGCAGUGGGGAAUUUUGGACAAUGGGCGCAAGCCUGAUCCAGCAAUGCCGCGUGUGUGAAGAAGGCCUUCGGGUUGUAAAGCACUUUUGUCCGGAAAGAAAACCUCGGGGCUAAUACCUCUGGGGGAUGACGGUACCGGAAGAAUAAGCACCGGCUAACUACGUGCCAGCAGCCGCGGUAAUACGUAGGGUGCAAGCGUUAAUCGGAAUUACUGGGCGUAAAGCGUGCGCAGGCGGUCCGCUAAGACAGAUGUGAAAUCCCCGGGCUUAACCUGGGAACUGCAUUUGUGACUGGCGGGCUAGAGUAUGGCAGAGGGGGGUAGAAUUCCACGUGUAGCAGUGAAAUGCGUAGAGAUGUGGAGGAAUACCGAUGGCGAAGGCAGCCCCCUGGGCCAAUACUGACGCUCAUGCACGAAAGCGUGGGGAGCAAACAGGAUUAGAUACCCUGGUAGUCCACGCCCUAAACGAUGUCAACUAGUUGUCGGGUCUUCAUUGACUUGGUAACGUAGCUAACGCGUGAAGUUGACCGCCUGGGGAGUACGGUCGCAAGAUUAAAACUCAGAAGA
rnacentral:rRNA from 2 species